UGGUGGAGUGAUUUGUCUGGUUAAUUCCGUUAACGAACGAGACCCCUGCCUGCUAAAUAGCCGAAUGAGUUGAUUUUUCACUGAUUGUGGCUUCUUAGAGGGACGUGCAUUUUAUUAGAUGCAGGAGGAUAGGGGCAAUAACA
rnacentral:rRNA from 1 species